rnacentral:rRNA from 1 species
ACAUACAAUGACUCUCGGCAACGGAUAUCUCGGCUCUCGCAUCGAUGAAGAACGUAGCGAAAUGCGAUACUUGGUGUGAAUUGCAGAAUCCCGUGAAUCAUCGAGUCUUUGAACGCAAGUUGCGCCCGAAGCCAUUAGGCCGAGGGCACGCCUGCCUGGGUGUCACAC